rnacentral:sRNA from 1 species
ACUGCUUUUCUUUGAUGUCCCCAAAUAUUGAGGAGCCCGAUAGUUUCAACCCAUUUGGUGAAAUAACUGUCGGGUUUUUUAUU